rnacentral:lncRNA from 1 species
AGCAAUCUUCAACUUAUUCAACGAUGGAGAAUGACUCCAGGGAGAAAAUCAAGUCUGAUUUAUGCUAAUAACGGUAGCCAAUGGGAAAUUGAUGAACAGUGGAAGGACGAAUCAUCUUGGAAGGCGUUUACAGAAGAGAUGGCUUUAAUAGAAUUGAAAAAAUUAAGAGCUUCUUGUAAUUGCCUGCAAAGCAUUCUUUAAGCUCAGACCUGCUCUUAUGGACGAGGCAACUUUUGGUAAAUGGCGAGAAACAGGGUAGCAUCGUCACACAUGGUUCGCUUUUGCUCUGUUUGCGUUGAUCGAAUUAGAGAACUUGGAUCCGACGACGGACCGAUCAAUCCACAAUGACGAGGUCCAUUGAACAGAGGAGAAAGAGGAUGAUGCGUUGCCGCCGCCUUGGAGCUCCAAACUCUUCUCGAUCGUGAUCGGAUAAAAUUGACGAGUUGGACGAGUCGGCAUACUCCAACCCCGGCCGAAUCGACAGCAAGCAACUUGAAAAAGUUGGGGGACCGCGUACUUCGAGCCUGAAGGAGAAGGAAAUUGGUUUUCUCCGACUUCGGCAACGAAGUUUGGCUGCGACUCUCGUUCGUCAACGACUCAACGUCGAAGAACUUUAAGAUGGUAACCUGCUUGCAAACCUAGGAACUCU